rnacentral:tRNA from 1 species
CGGACUCGAACCGUGGACCAAAGGAUUAUGAGUCCUCUGCUCUAACCGACUGAGCUAUAGGCCCCCAGAAGGUCGGC